UGAGUUUUUGGCAAACAGUCCAGAUCAUCGUGUGGUUGCAAUUGGUAUAAUGUAUAAUGUCCUUGGGGGCACUAUACAUAAUGUGCCAAUUCCUCUAAGCCACGUAUGAGUUUGUCUAAAAGUUUCUUUGGAUGAAAACUAUCAGCUACCCAUUCCACGGAGGAUGUGAUGACAGUAGGAGACGCAUUGGGCACCUUUGUUGCAUCGCCUACCGCCCUUAUAAGGCCGAUAUCUAACAAAGAUAAGUCCAAAGAAAAAGACUUCCCCAGCAAACAAUCAACUAGCCAUGAGUCAAAGAUUAUCGCACUUCCCCUACUUCAAAAGAUGGAGCCUUAAUUGUCACAUAAAUUCCUGACUUCACGAGGGGCAUAUGCAGACAUGAAAAGGAGUAUUCAUGAUUUUAUUGAUGUAGACAACCCAUUCGAGCAUGGCAUAUAUGACAGAGAUCAUACCAAUCGCAUAACGCUUGAAGUCGUAGAUGAAGUACUCCACCAUGGCAUGAUUAGCACAAUUGUCAUGGAUUUUUAUUUGAGGUUUCUUUAUCAUAUACUCAUCGUGCCCUGUAACCUUACAAGGAUGUUUGUCUUCAUUUGUCCUUGUGACAUUGCUACUUUCUAUGACAUUCGAGACUCUGAUCAUGAAGAUCAAGCAAAGCAGCUGUGCAAUUCAUUCAAAGCCAGGACUACUAAAAAAGGGGGAAGGUUAUUCUUGAUACCUUAUG